UUAACGGUUUUUUCACACCCCGAGGGCGGAUAUGCCAACCGGACAUGUAGAAACGAACUACGUCCAAGAAACGCAUUUCGGGAUCUGCAGUUUUUUGAACAUUUAAGAGCAAAUCUGGAUGACUCAUAAAACUAGAAUUUUCAAGAGGUUAGUACAACAUCCUUUUACAUUCAAAAAUCUUUUUUUUGCUUAUUAUCUUUGUUUUCUCUUUUCAUUUCCUUAAACAACACUGUUUUCAUACAUGCAAAUAAGCUACUUGCUCAUGCAUUUCCGGGAAUCGGUCAAUUUGAGUGCAUUUCACCAGAUGCACCCUUCCGGCUGGCGGAGAUGUAUAACAAAUCGUCCACAUAUGCAUUGCGCAAUUGCCCAUGAAAUCGACCGUAAACCGGAAUUUUAUAAUGACCAGGCUGUGUCUUUGACGGAAUUUGAAUACAAAGAAAAUAAGGAGACUAGCAAUGUACAUACUUUGUGAUACGUUCCAACAUAGACUUAGGUUCCAACACAAACGUCGGAAAUGUGACUUUGGACAAGUCCAUAUUAGGUCUGCGAACAUGUGGUCAAUAACCCGCCCGUCAAUCACGCAAAGGUUGUCAUAGAAGACUUUGAAUUUCUUCACAUCUACUUCAACGUCACAUACCUCAGUUGGGAGACGAUUCCCAAAAUUAUGUUCUAAAUAAAAAUUCGUUAAGAUCAAUCAUUCCAACAAAAUUAAACUUCAUAUCAAAGUUGUCGCAUCUCCAUUAGCCAUUGUAGUGUUUGUCACCAACUCAAAAAGGCCUUUUCUAUCUGUACCUACCUUUCCUUCAUCUUCAAUUUCCUCAGCAUCUCUAUCUUGUUUCUCGUCUACACAUACUUCGUUAGCAAUUUCCCAUUUCCUCAUCUUUUUUCGUCUUCAAUUCACGGUUUUCUACGGUAACGCUUCCGACGCGCUUCUUUUUCGACAUACGAGGCAUAUUUUACGAUAAUCUCAGUAACUUUCUUGAAAAUACUACCAAACAACCUGAAAUAUUUGAGAUUUUUUAGAUAUGUACGUUGGGUUAGUUGUUGGUUCAGUCAGGCAGUGUCUAAAGUCCAAAUUUGUGGUAGUAAGUACUUCCAGGUCUAAAUGACGUCAGUCAUCUCAGAAAGCUGAAAGUGAUGCUGUAUUAGCAAAAUAAAUGUAAACAAAA